rnacentral:tRNA from 1 species
GAGUGUAUAGCUUAGUAGGUCAAAGCAAUAAACUUUUAAUUUAAAGAUUUUAGGUUCGAGUCCUGAUACACUCA